rnacentral:rRNA from 1 species
UACGGAGGGGGCUAGCGUUGUUCGGAAUUACUGGGCGUAAAGGGCUCGUAGGCGGCCAACUAAGUCAGACGUGAAAUCCCUCGGCUUAACCGGGGAACUGCGUCUGAUACUGGAUGGCUUGAGUUCGGGAGAGGGAUGCGGAAUUCCAGGUGUAGCGGUGAAAUGCGUAGAUAUCUGGAGGAACACCGGUGGCGAAGGCGGCAUCCUGGACCGAGACUGACGCUGAGGAGCGAAAGCCAGGGGAGCAAACGGGGU